rnacentral:rRNA from 1 species
CCCUUAGAUGUCCUGGGCUGCACGCGCGCUACACUGAUGUGUCCAGUAAGCACCUAACCUCUUCCGAAAGGAACGGGUAACCUUUGCAAAGCACAUCGUGAUGGGGAUAGAAUAUUGUAAUUAUUACUCUUCAACGAGGAAUUCCUAGUAAGCGCCAGUCAGCAGCUUGCGCUGAUUACGUCCCUGCCCUUUGUACACACCGCCCGUCGCUCCUACCGAUGGGUGAUCCGGUGAAUGAUUCGGACUUCAGCGGCUCCCCUGGGGUGCGCCGGAGAAAGUUUUGUGAACCUUAUCACUUGGAGGAAGGAGAAGUCGUAACA